CGCACGGGUGAGUAACACGUAUCCAACCUGCCGUCUACUCUUGGCCAGCCUUCUGAAAGGAAGAUUAAUCCAGGAUGGCAUCAUGAGUUCACAUGUCCGCAUGAUUAAAGGUAUUUUCCGGUAGACGAUGGGGAUGCGUUCCAUUAGAUAGUAGGCGGGGUAACGGCCCACCUAGUCAACGAUGGAUGGGGGUUCUGAGAGGAAGGUCCCCCACAUUGGAACUGAGACACGGUCCAA
rnacentral:rRNA from 1 species